UUUUUUUUUUUUUGGUUCUAUUUCCCUUUGAUUUUGUUUUUGUCAUGGGAUGUGCCUCCAGCCAGCAAAGAAGGAAAUCUUCUCGUUGUGAUGUACCAAGAAAACUCUAACAACUGUCAUUUUAACUGCAGACAUGCAUUGAAAAGAUGUCUGUCCAUUUGAAGAAUUUUAAUACAAAUGCUGUUUUUUAGAAGACAACUUUGUGCAUUGUUAUGUAUCACAUGAAACACUGACUUUCACACAGGCUCUUAAUCCAGAUUUAUAUCUCAGUAGCAGUGAAAAGUGGAGGGGUCGCUUUAGCUAAGAACAGUGGUGAGAAAAGGCAAACCACAGGAUUGCUGUUUUACCUGAUAUUUAGCCAUUUUUGAUGCAGGUUUUUGCUCGUGUUUGGGUCCUGGCCCAGUGCUGCCGAGCUGUGGGAAGCAGGCUGUGCUCAGAGGCAGCCUUAGGAAGGCAGUGUGGCCUUCCUGCAAUGGCCCUGUCAGAUCAGGCCCUUUUCCCCUCCUGGAAGCAGUGGUUUAUUGGGGUGAAGUGCUAAAGGUCAGUUAUUUAUGAAAUUCAAACUUUUGGUCUCAUUGCAUUAUCACUUUAAAAUGAUAACCAGACCUUUUUGUUUUCUGGUUUGCAGAGGGGCUGGGCUGGGAGGAGACCUGUGCCUCCCCUGAGCUGGGAGGUCCAAGAGCUUCUUUACCUGUUCUCUUUGCCCCUUCUUUAAAGGUCUGCACACAAAACCUGCAGCUCUGUUUUUCCUUCUCCCCCCUGUCCCAAGAAGUCUUGAAAUUAUCUUACAUCUCAAAAACAAAGGUUGAGCAAUGUGUAAAGGGGUUUUUAAUCAGGCCAGCUGAAAAGUGACUGCCACGAUUCCUCUGUGAUUCUGGUAAUUUCUCCUUUUUAAGCAGGAGAAUUUUGUGCCUCAGCGCUGGGAGAGCAGUGUGUAGUGCCAGUUUGAUGCAGUUUUGAAAUGAAAAUUCCAUUUGUGCUUUAGUCACAAUUGGAUACUUUUUGCAGUAACAUCAAGGAUGUGCUGCAGAUGUUUGAGCUUGUGUGCUCAGGGUGUUUCUCCUGCCCAGUUUGGGGCAGCAGUGGGGCUGUGCCAGCCUCAGGGACAGCCCCAGUGAAGAGCAGAGGAGGAGGAGGCAGCCCCAGCGCUGGGGCCUCGCUGCUGCCCGGGAUAGACACAUCACUUCACCCCCGUGUUUAGGGGAAACUUGAAAACCUCACUGCAGCUCAUCUUCCAGGAAUUCCUGAAGGUUCCUUAGAAGCCAGAGGACUCCCAUGCUGGGAAGACAGGGGAAUGACACUGACAGAAGGGGUUUCUUUUAACCCAAGUGUACUGCAUUGAAAGCCGAGGAAGCUUGGCUGCUGCCACAUCUGCAGCUGGCAAACUGCAUGUCUGAUGUUAAAAAAAAUAAAUGUACAUCUCAGUUACUGCCAUGGUUCAAUUUUGCCUUAAGUUCAAUGGGAAUGUACAGUUUUUAGCACCCACCAGGCCUUGAUCAGUGCACUGACAGCAACUUGAUGUGGUUGAUAAAAGCAGGUAUUUCUUGUGCCCUCCCAGGAGCCAGCAGAUCCCUCACGUUCCCCAGUGCCUGAGGAACAAAGCAGAAGUGGGUGUUUGUAGCACACAAAGUCCAGCUUUGCUCGGCCUGGCAGAGCAGCUGGGGGCAGCCAGCUGAGCUCUGUGUUGUGCUGGGCCUUCCAGUGGUACAUUCUGGGUUUGGCCAAAAAGCUGCAUUUCUUAAACAGUGGAGCAUUUAAGCAGCCGUGGCACUGUCUGAUCAGGGUUUUGAAUGUAUUUAGGCAUUCCGUGUUCUCUGUGACUGCUGAGGACAGUACGAAAUGUAGAGCUCAGUGGUCUGAUCUUCCAAAUACUCUGAAGUGUUUUGGUGCUUGUCAAACAUAGGCCUUGUCUAUAAAAAGUCUGAAAAAAAUCAUCCUGCUUUAACUUGACUGAGUGAUGAAAGCUAUAUUAGCUUCGACACUUGAGGGAAAUGUUGUAUCAAUAUAAAGGUACUCUUUAUUCCUUUUCCCUGUGGGAAUAUGUUGCACCCGUGUCAAUACAGAGGUGGUAUAUCACUCUUUUCACAGUGAGAAUUGCAAAUAUUUACUUGUUUUGGAAGAAAAAUUACAUUCCCAGCCAAAAUACUUCCUGACAUCGCAGAAGUUGUGUAAACAAGGCCUUGGUUUAAGGCUGGUCUUGUGACCACAUAUUUUGCUGUACAUAAUGAUUGUAUUUUUAAAAAUCCGAGCUUGUUCUGUGGCAAGAAGUGUCUGCAGCCGGUGUCUGUGACUGUGACCUGUGCUCAGCCCCGGCCAGAGCUGCGUGCUGCUCACCCACGCUCGGGAUUCCUGCUCGGAUGGUGCUGGAGCUGCUCUGGAACUCUGUGCCUGUGGGAUCCUGGUGGUUCUGCUUCUCUCGAAAGAAUGUACGGCGAGCUGUUUGCGAAGGGCAUUUUAAAUAAAGGGCAGCUGGCUCUUUAUGACU
ensembl:lncRNA